rnacentral:rRNA from 1 species
AGCGGCGGACGGGUGAGUAACGCGUGGGUAACCUGCCUCAUACAGGGGGAUAACAGUUGGAAACGGCUGCUAAUACCGCAUAAGCGCACAGUACCGCAUGGUACCGUGUGAAAAACUCCGGUGGUAUGAGAUGGACCCGCGCCUGAUUAGCUAGUUGGUGGGGUAACGGCCUACCAAGGCGACGAUCAGUAGCCGACCUGAGAGGGUGACCGGCCACAUUGGGACUGAGACACGGCCCAA